rnacentral:lncRNA from 1 species
AACUCGACCGGUGCAGCAAUGGAAAGAUUACUCUUGUAGAUCUCUUGGAUAGUAGCAGUGGCGAUUGAUCCUCUACAAUAUUUUGGUUUAGCUUGGUUUACAGUCGUUGCAAGUUACAACCUGAUCAAAUGAUGCUAAUGAGUAAAUGAUACUUGACGAGGAGCCUGCUCUCUGGUUUACCUAAACCGGGUCUUGAUUAUGUGGUUGGUCUUGUUGCCUUGCGUAAUUGGUUAAGCGACUAUUCACUCGUCCAAUUUAUAUAAACUUGGGUGCUUAUUGUCACGGCCCGUUUCAAGCCCAAAACGUCCAUGACUUGCAGCUGAGCAUCGGACCGGGCCAAAGAAGAUUCAAGCCCACAUUUACUUAGGUUUCUUAAGUGUGAAGUACCUUUGUAAAAUAUCUAAGUAUUUUAUAUAUUAAGAAGUGUGUAGAAUACUUAAGAAUGAAGUUGCUUAAGGGGAAGGAACUUCAUGGUGAAGUAACUUCAUGGGUAGGAAAGAAUCUGAACCGUUGGAUCGGUUUAAUCUCCACCGUCCAUUGAGGAGGUGAUCUUGUAUAAAUAGGGGGUGAGAUCCUCACUUGUAACAUAUCCUGAACUUAAUAAGAAAUCAGUUCAUAAAGCUCUGUCCUCUCUCUAAAACGUUCAUACUUCUCUCUCUAAGUACUGAUCAGUUUCCGAAAGGCUGACUUAGCAAAUCACAAGGGUGAAAGGUGCUAAGGCCGCACGUCCUGAUUGCUGUGAAGAAAUCAGUCCGUGACAGUUGGUAUCAGAGCGGAGUUACGAUCCAGACAAGGGGAGACUCUGUCCGAGUGAAGAAAAUGGCUAAGGGAGAUAAACAAAAAGAAGCAAGCUCGCAGUCCGGCGUGGAGGAGCGCGGACGGGAGGCUACAUCCACACGUGCUGGCACCCAGCGGGAAAAGAGUGUUUCUCGUGAGGCUUUGGGUGUGGCUGUGGGCGAGAUUGGUGAGAAGCUCGAGAGGGUCGAGCAUACCGUCACUGAGCUGGAGAGUGUCGUGUUCGGUGGGCUUGAGGAGGUCAAGCAAAAUGCUGCCGACUUGGACUCUCGGUUCAUUCGGCUCGAGGAGCUGGUGACGGGAUCCAUGCAGGCUUUGCGUGAUGACAUCGAGGGGAUGAAGGCACGCUUUACUGCGAUGGAGGAGGACGUCGCACUGGUCAAGAGGGCAAGCGCGAACGUUGGAGCCGUUGAAGGAACCAGUGUUGGUAAGGUUGAAUUUCCGAAGCCAAACCGGUUCAACGGUUCGCGGGAUGCCAAGGAGGUCGAGAAUUUCCUUUGGCAGAUGGAGAUAUACUUCGACAAUCUCAACUUGGUGGCUGAGAAUGCGAAGGUGAAGGCCGCGACGUCCUACCUGUCAGACACGGCCAUGCUGUGGUGGAGAAGGAAACAUUCCGAGAUCGAGCAAGGAACAUGCCGGAUCGAUACUUGGGAUGAUUUCAAGAAGGAGUUGAAGCGGCAGUUCUACCCGGAGAACGUCGUGUAUGAGGCCCGUAAGAAGUUGAGGGAACUUCGACAGCGUGGUUCGAUCCGGGACUAUGUGAAGGAGUUCACAACGCUCAUGCUUCAGAUUCCGAACAUGACCGCGGAGGAUCUUGUGUUCUACUUCACCGAUGGACUGCAAUCUUGGGCCAAGCAAGAGUUGCAGCGUCGGGGAGUCAAGACAGUGGACGAAGCCAUUGCGGUGGCUGAGUCGCUGACUGACUUCCGCACCUCUGGUCCGUCUGAGUCCUCAAAGAAGAAGGAGCAGGUCGUGGCCAAAGGUGGGGGAGCGAGACGGGAUACUUUCCGACCAUCCAACUCAAGGAGCUUUGAGAGGGGUGCUCGUCGGGAAGACUUCGAGGCAAGGAAAAAGUCCUUCGUUCCUAAGGGAGGGUGCUUUGUGUGCAAGGGGCCACAUGCGAUGAAGGACUGUCCGAAGAUGGGAUCUUUAUCGGCUAUCAUGGAAAGUCGGGACACCGAGUCUCCAGAAGAGGAGCCGGGAAAGAUGGGAUCGUUGCAGCUUCUCAACGCCCUGAAGGCUAACCCGGUGGUAAAGCCAACGAGCAAGGGGCUCAUGUAUGUCGAGGCUCGGAUCAAUGACAAACCGACCCGAGUGAUGGUGGACACGGGCGCCACUCACAACUUCAUGGCGAUAGACGAAGCUGUGAGACUUGGUGUCAAGUGGUCCAAGAAGGACGGUUGGAUGAAGACGGUGAACGCCAAGGCUCAACCAGUCCAUGGGAUAGCCCGAGGGGUCGGGAUGAAAUUGGGAAGCUGGAAUGGUCCGGUGAACUUCUCAGUCAUUCCUAUGGACGACUUCAAGGUAGUCUUGGGUAUGGAAUUCAUGAGACAAGUCUCAGCCAUACCCAUGCCUGCGUUGAGCUCGGUAUGCAUACUCGAGAAGGGAUCACCGUGCAUGAUUCCAGCCUUGGAAGAGAAAACCGAUGGGACGAGGCAACUAUCGGCGAUGCAGCUCACCAAGGGGGUGAAGAAGGGUGAACCCACGUUUUUGGCUAUGAUGAAGGUGGAGGAUCAGCCCAAGAACGUGGAGUCUAUCCCACAAGUCGUCGAGGCAGUCCUUGAGGAGAACAAGGACGUGAUGCCAGCUAAGUUGCCUGAGAAGUUACCACCGAGGAGGGCGGUGGACCAUCAGAUCGAGUUGGAGCCGGGAGCCAAACCACCAUCUAUGGCACCUUAUAGGAUGGCUCCAUCCGAGCUGGAGGAGUUGAGGAAACAACUCGAUGAGUUGUUAUCGACGGGGAAGCUGAGACCGUCGAAGGCACCUUAUGGCGCCCCGGUUUUGUUCCAAAAGAAGCAUGAUGGUUCGUUGAGGAUGUGCGUGGACUACCGGGCCCUUAACAAGGUGACGAUCAAGAACCGUUAUCCCAUUCCGCUGAUUGCCGACCUAUUCGAUAGACUUGGUGGGGCAAAAGUCUAUACGAAGAUGGACUUGCAGAAGGGUUACUAUCAAGUCCGGAUAGCGGAAGGGGAUGAGCCGAAGACUGCGUGCAUAACGCGGUAUGGGUCGUUCGAGUGGUUGGUGAUGCCCUUCGGGCUUACGAACGCCCCAGCCACGUUUUGCACCCUUAUGAACCAGAUCCUACAACCCUACUUGGAUCGGUUCGUGGUGGCAUACUUAGACGACAUAGUCAUCUACAGCAACUCGAUGGAGGAGCAUGUAGAGCACCUACGGACAGUUUUCCGGGUUCUCCGAGAAAACGAACUGUUCGUGAAGAGGGAGAAGUGCACGUUUGCCACUGAGGAAGUUCAGUUCCUUGGCCAUGUUAUCGGCCAUGGAAAGCUGAAGAUGGAUGAACCGAAGGUCAAGGCGAUUAUGGAGUGGGAGGCCUCGACCAAGGUGACGGAGUUGAGAUCUUUCCUUGGUCUGGUCAACUACUAUCGUCGGUUCAUCGAGGGAUAUUCAAGGAAGGCAGCACCACUGACGGACCUUCUCAAGAAGGGGAAGACAUGGGACUGGUCCGGACGUUGCCAAGAAGCCUUCGAGGAGCUGAAGACUGCAGUAAGCCAGGAACCCGUCCUUGCCUUACCCGACUUCAGUCUCCCUUUCGAGUUACACACGGAUGCCUCCGACUUUGCCAUCGGGGGAGUGCUGAUGCAAAAUGGACACCCAAUUGCCUUUGAGAGCCGCAAGCUCAAUGAGACUGAACGGCGGUACACGGUUCAAGAGAAGGAGAUGACCGCGAUAGUCCAUUGCUUACGAGUUUGGAGACACUAUCUUCUGGGACCGCACUUCUCAGUCAAAACGGACAACGUGGCGACGAGCUACUUUCAGACCCAGAAGAAGCUGUCCCCGAAACAGGCAAGAUGGCAAGACUUCCUGGCUGAGUUCGAUUACACUUUGGAGUACAAGCCAGGAAAGGUGAAUGUGGUGGCCGAUGCACUAAGUCGGAAAGCAGAGCUAGCAGCAAUGAGCCAAGUUGAGGGGACCAUUAUGGCUCGAAUCCGAGAGGGGCUGGAACGCGAUCCAGUCGCUAAGGAGCUGGUGAAACUAUCCAACGAAGGGAAGGUGCAUCGAUUUUGGGUAGAGAACGGGCUACUCUAUACCAAAGGUCGAAGACUUUAUGUGCCUAAGUGGGAAAGUCUUCGACGAGACAUCAUUCGGGAGUGCCAUAAUACCCGAUGGGCGGGCCAUCCGGGACAGAAGAGAACAAUGGCACUUAUCGAAGCAGGAUACUACUGGCCACGGAUGAGGGAUACCGUGGAACUUUAUGUGAAGACUUGUCUUGUUUGCCAGCAAGACAAGACGGAGAACAAGCAGUCCGCGGGUUUGCUACAGCCACUUCCGAUUCCAGAGAGACCAUGGGACUCGGUUUCCCUAGACUUCAUCAGCGCAUUGCCUAAGUCCGAAGGGUUCGGAUCCAUCCUGGUGAUUGUGGACCGAUUCUCUAAGUAUGGGACGUUCGUGGCUUGCGACCGGGACUGCACCGCGGAAGAGGCAGCAAGGGCGUUUUUCAAAAACGUGGUUAAGUUAUGGGGACUUCCGCGGAACAUCGUGAGUGAUCGUGAUCCACGAUUCACCGGGCGCUUAUGGACGGAGCUGUUCAAAAUGCUUGGGACAGAACUAAGUUUCUCAACAAGCUUUCACCCGCAAUCUGAUGGGCAGACCGAAAGGGUGAAUGCCUUGCUUGAGAGUUAUCUCCGUCACUUUGUAAGCGCCAACCAACGAGACUGGGCGAAGUUGCUGGAUAUAGCCCAGUUCUCUUACAACCUUCAACGCAGCGAGGCGACAGGACGCAGUCCAUUCGAGCUCGCAACGGGACAACAGCCACUAACUCCACAUACUUUGGCUGCACCAAGGACUGAGGGGAGAAGUCCAGGGGCGUUCAUAAUGGCCAAACAGUGGGAAGAACAUGCUGAUCUUGCCCGAGCAUGUUUGGAAAAGUCCCAAAAGCGGAUGAAGAAAUGGGCAGAUGAGAAGAGACGGCCUUCGGAGUAUUCAGUGGGCGACCUUGUACUUGUGAAACUACUUCCACAACAGUUCAAGGCAUUCCGGAGCCUACACAAAGGCUUGAUCCGGAGGUACGAAGGGCCGUUCGAGAUAAUUGGAAAGGUGGGAAAGGUUUCCUACCGACUUGAACUACCGGAUACCCUUAAGAUCCAUCCGGUCUUUCAUGUGAGCAUGCUGAAGCCGUACCAUGCUGAUGAGGACGACCAAACCCGAGGAGUUUCGACUCGAGCACCACCCGUGGUGACUAAGUCUUAUGAUAAAGAGAUUGAAGAGGUGCUGGCGUCCAAGGAAGUGCGGAAACGAGGAGUUCCACGACAGACCCAUUUCCUCAUCAAGUGGAAGGGUCUACCAGAGGCGGAAGCGACGUGGGAGCCGGAGGACGACUUAUGGCAAUUCCGGGAGGCACUAAAGGCGUACUCGGUGACGAGGGCGUCUCCGACUUAGGUGGGGGAGGAUGUCACGGCCCGUUUCAAGCCCAAAACGUCCAUGACUUGCAGCUGAGCAUCGGACCGGGCCAAAGAAGAUUCAAGCCCACAUUUACUUAGGUUUCUUAAGUGUGAAGUACCUUUGUAAAAUAUCUAAGUAUUUUAUAUAUUAAGAAGUGUGUAGAAUACUUAAGAAUGAAGUUGCUUAAGGG